rnacentral:rRNA from 1 species
ACCCGUUGAUCCUGCGGGAGAUCGCUGCUAUGAGGGUUCGACUAAGCCAUGCAAGUCUAGGUAGCAAUACCGGCGAAAUGCUCAGUAACACGUCGAUAAUCUGCCUUGAGGUCCAGCAUAACCUUAGAAAACUGAGGCUAACACUGGAUAAGGGAUAAUGUCUGGAAUGAUUUAUCCCUGAAAAGCAAUGCCUCAAGAUGAGUCGGCGGCGGAUUAGGUUGUUGGUGGGGUAAAGGCCCACCAAGCCGAAGAUCCGUACGGGCCUUGAGAGAGGUAGCCCGGAGAAGGACACUGAAAUACUGGUCCUAGCCCCACGGGGUGCAGCAGGCGCGGAACCUCUACAAUGCACGAAAGUGUGAUAGGGGAACCCUCAGUGCUUUGCUUAGCAAGGCUUUUGCCAAAAAUAAAUACUUUGGCGAAUAAGUGGUGGGAAAGACUGGUGCCAGCAGCCGCGGUAACACCAGCGCCACAAGUGGCGGUCACAAUUAUUGGGCCUAAAGCGUCCGUAGCUUGUUUUCUAAAUCUUUUGUGAAAUUGUUUAGCUCAACUAAACACAUUGCAGAAGACACUAUUAGACUUGGGACCGGGAGGGGUCAGGAGUAUUUUGAGGGGAGCGGUAAAAUGCGAUAAUCCUCAAAAGACUACCGGUGGCGAAGGCGCCUGACCAGAACGGAUCCGACGGUGAGGGAAAAGCCAGGGGAGCAAACCGGAUUAGAUACCCGAGUAGUCCUGGCUGUAAACUCUGUGAGCUAGGUGUUGCAUAUCUUUCGAGGAUGUGCAGUGUCGAAACGAAGGUGUUAAGCUCACCGCCUGGGAAGUAUAGUCGCAAGGCCGAAACUUAAAGGAAUUGGCGGGGGAGCACCACAAGAGGUGCGGCGUGCGGUUUAAUCUAAUUCAACGCAGAAAAUCUCACCAGAGGCGACGGCAGGAUGAAAGUCAGGCUAAAGACUUUACUUGACGAGCCGAGAGGUAGUGCAUGGCCGCCGUCAGCUCGUGCCGUAAGGUGUCCUGUUAAGUCAGGCAACGAGCGAGACCUGUACCUACAAUUGCUAACGAGUCUUUUGGACGAUCGAGCACAUUGUAGGGACUGCCCGUGAAAAUGGGAGGAAGGUGCAGGCUACGGUAGGUCUGUAUGCUCCGAAUCCUCUGGGCUACACGCGCGCAACAAUGGUACGGACAAUGGGAUGCAACUCCGAAAGGAGAAGCUAAACCUCUAAACCGUAUCCAAGUCCAGAUUGAGGGCUGUAACCCGCCCUCAUGACGAUGGAAUCUCUAGUAAUCGGACGUCAACAUCGUCCGGUGAAUAUGUCCCUGCUCCUUGCACACACCGCCCGUCAAACCAACCGAGCAGGGUUUAGGUGAGUGUCAGGCUUUUACCUGAUCCGAAUCUAAGCUCAGUGAGGUGGGUUAAGUCGUCACAAGGUA